rnacentral:rRNA from 1 species
AGCUCCAAUAGCGUAUAUUAAAGUUGCUGCAGUUAAAAAGCUCGUAGUUGGAUUUGUGGGAUGGCCGUCCGGCGGGGGGCCUUUCAUGGUCCCGUUUGUCCUGGUUUUCGGCCUUCCCUUUCUCGGGAAGCGGGUUGCUGGCAUUAGGUUGUCGGCGGCUUCGCGCCCGUCUUUUACUGUGAAAAAAUUAGAGUGUUCAAAGCAGGCUUAGGCCGUUGGAUAUAUUAGCAUGGAAUAAUGAGAUAAGGCCGCGGUGGUCUUUUCUGUUGGUUUGCCACACGCCGCAAUGGUAAAAAGGAACAGUUGGGGGUAUUCGUAUUCAACUGUCAGAGGUGAAAUUCUUGGAUUUGUGGAAGACGAACUACUGCGAAAGCAUUUACCAAGGAUGUUUUCAUUAAUC